rnacentral:rRNA from 1 species
UACGAAGGUGGCAAGCGUUACUCGGAAUUACUAGGCGUAAAGGGCAGGUAGGUGGUUUGAUAAGUCUGUUGUGAAAGCUCCUGGCUUAACUGGGAGAGGUCAACAGAAACUAUCAGGCUUGAGUAUGGGAGAGGGUACUGGAAUUCCCGGUGUAGCGGUGAAAUGCGCAGAGAUCGGGAGGAACACCUAUGGCGAAAGCAGGUACCUGGACCAUUACUGACACUCAGCUGCGAAAGCUAGGGGAGCAAACAGG